rnacentral:lncRNA from 10 species
AUUUUUUUUUUUUUACUAGACCUUUACAUGAAAUUAGAUAGAGUUAACUUAUCUCUCUCCUGGCACUUCUUGUGCAGGUCCGCCAGUCAAAUCCAGCAGACUGCAAAAAUACUAGACUUUCUCCACUGAAGAGUCAGGUAAUGCCAGAAGAGUAUUAUGGCACAGCAAUACUCCUCAGAGCAAACGUUGGCUUUUCAGCUAACUUAGAAGUUCCCUGGAAAAUGCUUCUUAAGCCUUAGAGAAGAGAGACAGUCUUUUUCAUAUAACAUAGCCAAACCAAGGGCGUGACACUCCGUCACCGUCACCAUACUCUGCUGAUUAGAAGUGAUUCACAGUUUCUGCCCACAAUGAACAGAAGAGGUCACAUAGGAGAGUGAUCAGCAUAUCUUGGGAGCACAGUAGACACAGGUUAAGGAGAUCCCCUGCCUGCAGUGUCCCAAUCAAAUCAUAGGAACACUGUGAGACUCUGGGGUGAGCUUGCAUUUGCAGACAGGAACUGAAGGGCUGGAGAGGUUACACUCACCCAGGUGCAGUUGCCCAGCAUGUGAAAGAGGAGACAUUCUAAACCCUGCACUUAAAAAAUAAAUAAAUAAAUAAAGUUACAGACU